AUUGAACGCUGGCGGCAGGCUUAACACAUGCAAGUCGAGCGGGGGAAGGUAGCUUGCUACCGGACCUAGCGGCGGACGGGUGAGUAAUGCUUAGGAAUCUGCCUAUUAGUGGGGGACAACAUCUCGAAAGGGAUGCUAAUACCGCAUACGUCCUACGGGAGAAAGCAGGGGAUCUUCGGACCUUGCGCUAAUAGAUGAGCCUAAGUCGGAUUAGCUAGUUGGUGGGGUAAGGGCCUACCAAGGCGACGAUCUGUAGCGGGUCUGAGAGGAUGAUCCGCCACACUGGGACUGAGACACGGCCCAGACUCCUACGGGAGGCAGCAGUGGGGAAUAUUGGACAAUGGGGGGAACCCUGAUCUAGCCAUGCCGCGUGUGUGAAGAAGGCCUUAUGGUUGUAAAGCACUUUAAGCGAGGAGGAGGCUACUUUAGUUAAUACCUAGAGAUAGUGGACGUUACUCGCAGAAUAAGCACCGGCUAAUUCUGUGCCAGCCGCCGCCGUAA
rnacentral:rRNA from 1 species